CACCGGCAUCGUUUCUAUAAAAGUACGGGCGCGUCAAAACGUCUCUGCAGUUUGCGUCGCGACGCUUUAAUAUUAUCAUCUAUUUUUAAAAAAUUUAUAUCAACAAAUUAAUCCACGUUUUGUUGAUCUUUAUGUACACUUUUAUUUUUUCGAUAUUGUAUUUAUUAUUAUGGAUUAUUCAGAGUGAUUAUUUAUUGUGAAAUAGUGUUUUUUUUUCUUUUUGUUUUAAUAUUUGUAACUUGGUUUAAAUUUGUACUAAUAAUUGUAUUUAUAUUUUUUUUUUGAGCAAGUUAUCCUGUUUUUAUGAAUUAUUAACAUUUGAGUGAAUACAAAGCUAAAUGAAAAAUAUAAAUUCAAAUGGUUGAUGAAUUUGUUGAUAAGUAUCCCAAUAAAAUUGAACUGAAUAAUUCGAAAAUAAUAAAAAACACUUGAAGCACAGGAUAUUGACUUGGAAUAUUAUGUGGUGAUUUUUUUUUUUACAAGACAAAAUAACUAGUUGGUGGUGGUGGGUGUGUCUGUUAAUCGUAAAAAAAAUAUAUAUAUCACAAGUAACAAAUUCUACGACGACUGACAGUUGGCACUGGUUAUAUAGGGGGUGAAAAAUACUAGAAAAAUAAAAUAAUAUGAAAAAAAAAAAAAACAAGAGUUGAAUUACAAAAAAAAUAAAAAAAAUAAAUAUAAAAGUGACGUAAAGAGAAGAGGAAACAAAAAUAAAUGAAAAUAAAGUACGAAUGAAAUUCGGUGAAUGGUCAAAAACGCAAAAUAGAAAAAAUAAAAAUAAAAAAAAAUAAAAAACAACAAAAGAAGUGAUGGUUGAAUGAAAAGGGGCGAGUAAAAGGGUGAAUAACGAAACUGUCAUUCGAUCGAAUCGAGUGUGCGAUUAACCGAGGGAUUUUUCUCUUCGUUCACAUCUCAA